CCUGCUGUACGACCAGCAGUUGCCUAUCCGAACAUGCUCGGCUGGUAACGGUCGAGUAUGAAGCUUUGGAAACAAUGUACCUCUCGAAUGACGGCUCACCCCGGCGACGGGGCAGGAGUCGACACUGCCAGCCGCCGUGCGGUGUGAGGG
rnacentral:ncRNA from 1 species